GGCCGGAGCUGCUUCUAAAAUGCCUGCUGCUGCUGCUGCCGGGAGCUGUACGUGAGCCAGGGGCACGGCUGGGAAUUCGCCCACUGAACAGCACAGCGUAGGAACCGCACACCUGCAUGUAAACGGGCUCUAUGGCUGAGAAGUAUAGAAGUGGACAGGACUCCAGUGCACAUCAAGAUCAUUUCUGAAUCAGCUGUUGGAUGCAAUUUGAUUUGAGAGACACAAAGUACUGGCUCUUCUUCAGGAACUGAAUGCCUUGUCCCUUGUCAUGCUAAAGCCUCAGACUUGGCAUCAAUCAUUUCUGCAGUUAAAGCACACACCUGCAUCUAGAUGCACACUCUGACAAAAUCUCAUUAAAAUUGUGAUGGCUGUUUCACACGGACUCAGGACAUGCCUGGGAAAGAACACAGGGCGGUCAGCCAAAGGCACCACCUCACAGUCACGUUAACAGUGGCUUAAACAAAUCUCAGAAUCUUUCUGAAGAAAUCUGGGAUAAAAUAAAAACACUUUUCUUCUGUUUCCCAAUAAACACAUCUGUUUUACAUGUGAGAUACA